rnacentral:tRNA from 1 species
GCGGUAGUAGCUCAUCAGGUAGAGCGGCACACCUCCAAUGUGCAGGCGCGCGGUUCGAGUCCGCGCUACCGCU